ACGGGAGGCAUCAGUGGGGAAUAUUGCACAAUGGGGGAAACCCUGAUGCAGCGACGCCGCGUGAGCGAAGAAGUAUUUCGGUAUGUAAAGCUCUAUCAGCAGGGAAGAAAAUGACGGUACCUGACUAAGAAGCCCCGGCUAACUACGUGCCAGCAGCCGCGGUAAUACGUAGGGGGCAAGCGUUAUCCGGAUUUACUGGGUGUAAAGGGAGCGUAGACGGCAUAGCAAGUCUGAAGUGAAAGCCCGUGGCUUAACUGCGGGACUGCUUUGGAAACUGUCAUGCUAGAGUGUCGGAGAGGUGAGUGGAAUUCCCAGUGUAGCGGUGAAAUGCGUAGAUAUUGGGAAGAACACCGGAGGCGAAGGCGGCUCACUGGACGAUAACUGACGUUGAUGCUCGAAAGCGUGGGGAGCAAACAGGAUUAGAUACCCUGGUA
rnacentral:rRNA from 1 species